CAGGGUCCCGACGUCUCUCGCAGUGAGCGCCCGUUUUUCCAGCAAGCUCGUCGCCGUCGCCUUCCGUGGAAACUCACUGCCGAGCUAUCAUUGUCGCGGCUUGUUGCUGCUGGCUCAGAUUUGCGCUGCCGUCGUUAUGGUACUUCAAGCUUGCUGACAAGUUAUUCUAUUAUUGCUGUCAAGUUCAGUAGCUUUGGUGGUUCGGAGACAAUUGAUGAUUUAUUCUUUGUGAUUUAUGCAAGUUAUGCUUCAUGUAAUGAUAUAGAAAUAAAAUAAAAAGUUGAGAGGAAGAUUGCCUACUGUAAAUUGAAACUUCAGGGGAAAGCUUUAUAAACCCUCAUGGAAAUUCUCUGCUCA